GACAGAGGUGCCGAGCGUUAGGCGGAAUCACUGGGCUUAAAGCGUGUGUAGGCGGACUUCUAAGUACCUUGUGAAAUCCCACGGCUUAACCGUGGAACUGCUUGGUAUACUGGUUGUCUUGGGCCAUCUAGGGGCUACUGGAACAAACGGUGGAGCGGUGAAAUGCGUAGAUAUCGUUUGGAACGCCAAUGGUGAAAACAAGUAGCUGGGGAUGUGCCGACGCUGAGACACGAAAGCCAGGGGAGCGAAUGGG
rnacentral:rRNA from 1 species